AAUAAUGCAAAGGACAAAAAAAUAUUCAUUCACUAAAUCCAAAAACCGUCGUAGAUGGGUGUGCUUUAAACGAAGAUCAUCAUUAUAUACUCCGUUAAAAAUAUAAUUUGGUAUUUCCAUAGUUAUCCAUUAUAAACUAAUAUCCAUACUUAGUGUCAGAGCCUUCGCCGGGUUAUUCUGUAGUAGGUUCAUAUUUGAUUGUCCAAACGUUAGACAUUGGAAUCUACAGUGAUGACGAAACAUUUCAAAUCGAUGUAAUAUUUUGCGCCUAUACAUUGUAUAAGAUGGUAAACAUGGUGUGUAAUAAGUUUGACUUUUUCUUUUGAUAGUAUCUUGUAGACUCUUAAGGCAUCAAAACCACUCAACGAGCAACAAGCAAAAGACAGAUCAUUUCUAAUCUCCUAUAUGCUGGAGAUGAUGUGAUGAAGAUUUCGGACAUUGUUAAGUGUUCUAGUAGCCUAGUUUUUAAGUUGGACA
rnacentral:lncRNA from 1 species